rnacentral:lncRNA from 1 species
CUGACUGGUCUCAACAUUUUUCUCUGAUCUCCAGUUCCAGAAAUUGCCAGAAGUGCCACAAGUACACAGGUUUGCCUGAUCUUGUCUGUGAAGCUUUUCCAGGAGGGACACUGGCUUACUCCUUAGCCGUGCUCACUCAGACUAAUUCAGAGACCUGCCCUGCCUCCUGGGUUGCGCAAAUCCAGAUUUCGUAUUUUUUCCUCUCUGGAGAACAUCGCCUCUUUCCCUCAGAAAAAUCCCUUGGCUCAGCACUGAUUUCAGGCUCCGAUAUGAAGUGCUUUAUUUGUAAAGCCUCCCUUGUUUGGCUCCCACUCACCUUGCCUGACCUCCUCCUCCUCCUCCUCCUUCCUCUCCUUCUCUUGGCCACGGGCUCCCUGGGCAAUCCUGUAGCGACCUCCCCUCUGUCCUCUUGCUGAACCUUAUCCUGGCACUGGAAGAGCGAUGGGAAGGCCCUGUAGCCCAGCCUGCCUGGCAAGAGCUCUCCUGGAGCUCCUCUUUCUCUUCUUUCUCUUCUUUCUCUCGCUGCAGCACACGCCUCUUUCAGCCUGCUUGCCAUGCCAUUUCCUUUCUCCAGCUCUCUUCCCUCCAUGGGAACGAGGAGCUGGGCAGCAGCACAAGGCAGCAGGGCAGCAAACCUACAGCAUCUGAAAGAGCUUCUGUGAAUAAAGUGGGAAUAUUCCCUGUUUUGUUUCUA